rnacentral:lncRNA from 1 species
UCAAUUCAUGAGUAUUUUAGAAGAACAAAUAGGAGAAAUUCUCGAUAAAUAAGGGUCUGUGAAUGGGUUUGUGAACUAUCUUUCUACAAUUAAGAACGGAGAUGUGAACUACUUUCUAAAGAUUGGUAAUAAAAUAUUAAAAUUUAUUUUAGACUAUUUUUCUAAGAUUGGCAAUCCAAAACCAUUAAAAUUUAUCAAUCCAAUAUUCGACACGGGA